GACCAGAGCCAAAGGCAGACACUUAACAGACUUGAGCCACCCAGGCCUCAAUUUCCUCAUCUGUAUAAUGAAAAAGAUAAAACUUCAUAGAGUUGUUCUGAAGAUGAAAUGAGACAAUAUCUGUGAAAUGCUGGGAAGAGACUUAACCAGAAGAGACUUUUGAUUAAUAUUAGUCAUUAUUAGCAUCAUCACAAUGACUGUAAUUCUCAACAUUAUCUUUAUUGUCUUUAGUGUGAAUAAUGAAGAUAAUAGUAAUAGCCUUAACAUGGAAAAUUUCCCUAGACAUUUGCUGGGAAAGAAGGCUAAGAGAGGAAGUCUGAAUUCUGCGCGUGCUCCCUCCCAACUCGAUGUUGUGUUUGAUACUGUGACCCAGGACAGGAGAAGGCUCACAGCACUGCUUGGCAGCACUCAUGGGACACUCUCUGGUCCUAUGCUUCCUGUACGCUAUCCAAGCAGGCUUCAGAGCUUUGCAGAUACUCUAUGUAGAUGGUACAUAAAGGUGAAGAAGGGGAUCCUGAUAUUGGAGGAGACUAUCUCAAAG